rnacentral:rRNA from 1 species
AAAAUACUAAAAUAGUAAAUAAAUGUUUAUUGAAACUUAAAUAAUUUGGCGGUAUUUUAGUUCAUUUAGAGGAAUCUGUUUAAUAAUUGAUAAUCCACGAAUAAAUUUACUUAAUUUAUAAUUUUGUAUAUCGUUGUUAAAAAAAUAUUUUUUAAUAAAAUUAAUAUUUAAAAAUUAGAAUAUAAAUUUAAAUCAGAUCAAGAUGCAGAUUAUAAUUAAGAAUAUAAUGGAUUACAAUAAAUUUAUUUAAAUGAAUUUUAAUUUGUAAAAAUUAAUUGAAAGUGGAUUUAAAUGUAAUUUUAUUUAAUUUAAUAAAAUGAUUAAAAAUUAAAAUAUGU